UAACGAAUCUUCCGCAAUGCACGAAAGUGUGACGGAGCGACGCCGCGUGGAGGACGAAGUUCUUCGGAAUGUAAACUCCUGUCAGGGGUAAGAAAGUUCUGAUCUACCCCAGAGGAAGGCACGGCUAACUCUGUGCCAGCAGCCGCGGUAAGACAGAGGUGCCGAGCGUUAGGCGGAAUCACUGGGCUUAAAGCGUGUGUAGGCGGAUGCCUAAGUACCUUGUGAAAUCCCACGGCUUAACCGUGGAACUGCUUGGUAUACUGGGUGUCUUGAGCCAACUAGGGGCGACCGGAACAAACGGUGGAGCGGUGAAAUGCGUAGAUAUCGUUUGGAACGCCAAUGGUGAAAACAGGUCGCUGGGGUUGUGCUGACGCUGAGACACGAAAGCCAGGGGAGCGAACGGGAUUAGAUACCCCCGUAGUCC
rnacentral:rRNA from 1 species